rnacentral:tRNA from 1 species
GGCUUUAUAUUCAUAAUAAUGAUUUUAGAUUGCAAAUCUAAAGGAGUAGAAAUCUACUAAGGCUU